rnacentral:lncRNA from 1 species
AAUCUAUCCAAAAUUUUUUAAAAAAAUCAAACAUCAAUAUAAAGUCAUAAUAAACAUUCCAUAUAAUAUAAUAAAGUUAUGAUUACAUUUUCCAUCAUAUUCAUUAAUUAGAAUGCAUAACUGAAGAAAAGAAACCAAAAGAAAUGUACAUCUAUAAAACUCAAAAAAAAAAUAGAGAUAUUGGACCAUCAAUGAUCCGUAGGAGUAUUAGCGUCAUCGACUCUAUGACUGCUGAAACUAUCGGAAGCCUACAACAAAUAUAUAAAAACUUGAGUAGUUGAGAAUAUGAAAAUUAUAACAUAAAUUAAAUAAUUAAGUAUAUGCUAAAAUAUAAAUAUAAUAAGAUAUGUACCUUAUAAGAGUCCACAAAUAUCUAUAAUGUAGAUGUCAACUACUCAAUCUGAGUCCUCAU